rnacentral:tRNA from 1 species
GUUGUCGUGGCCGAGUGUUUAAGGCGAUAGUCUAGAUUUUUUUGGGAUCUUCCCGCGGAGGUUCGAAUCCUGCCGACAACG